rnacentral:rRNA from 1 species
UACGGAGGGUGCAAGCGUUGUCCGGAUUUAUUGGGUUUAAAGGGUGCGUAGGCGGCCUGGCAAGUGGAAGGUGAAAUCCCUCGGCUUAACCGAGGAACUGCCCUCCAAACUGCUUGGCUUGAGACCAGGAGAGGUGAGUGGAAUUCCCAGUGUAGCGGUGAAAUGCGUAGAUAUUGGGAGGAACACCAGUGGCGAAGGCGGCUCACUGGACUGGUACUGACGCUGAGGCGCGAAAGCGUGGGGAGCAAACGGG